UUUGCGUGUAGUGAAACCUUAGCUUUAAAGACCACUUUGCUAAGGAGGGUGAUCAUGACCCUCCACCUUCUAAUUGCUGCUCCAUCUCUGAAUAUCAGAUUGGAACUAUUUUGUUGAAGUAUGUUCUCUCUUUCUAAAAACUAGCCUGUGUGAAGGACUUGCUAACUGUGCUGCUGUGUGGAUGACAUCUGAAUGUACUGAAGGUGGUCAACAGCAGAAGCCCAGAGUGCAAGUGAGGUGCUAUGAAGACUUCUUAGGGUUAGAAGUCAGUGAAGAUCCAGAACUUCUGGAGCCAAAGCUGUGACAAACUGCCAAAUCUGCACCUAGCCUAGUGGUGCUGGAGGAAAUUGCCACCUAUAUUCCCA